rnacentral:misc_RNA from 1 species
UUUGAAUGUUACAAACAGCUGAUGAGUAUGAAUCAAAUACAUAUAAAGAACGUCUCAAAGACGCAUUAGUGUAUUCUCCAGCCUUCUCCUUUUCCCAAGAAAUCUGUUAUAAUCACUCUCCUUCUGCAGAGGCUUAUUGUUUUUGGUAUAUUAUGCAAGUUGUUAACCAGUUAGGAAGAAACUUAAUUUUCUUUUCAUGUCUAGUUUGAUGCAGCAACUAACUCAAGAAUUGGAACACGAUGAAAUUCGAUCAUUUAGGCACUCAGUUGGAUCACCGGUAGCCAGCUCUCCUCCAGGCAGCUGGUCAAACUUCGGCAGUCCAGUUGAACCCAACCCGUUGCGAGGUUAUAGUCAAUCACCUGGUCUGAGAAAUCUCAGCCCUGUAAAUGGUAAUCUUAUGCCAGGGCUGGCCUCUAUUCUUCCUGGACACCUUUCAAGUCCGAAGAUUGCACCCAUUGGUAAAGAUCCUGCAAGGGUUGGCCAUUUGAAUCAGGUAACUUCUAGUCCAAAGUCAUCUCAAGGAAUGGGUUAUCAGCAUUCUUUUUCAGUCCCUGAGCAGAAACCGGCUUUAAGCAUAGGAUCUGUGCCAUUUGGUAACUCUAAGGCAUCCGGUACUGGAACGCUUUCUGGUCCACAGUUUCUUUGGGGUAGUCCCCCUAUUCACUCAGAGCGAUCCGACUCUCCUAUCUGGCCAGCUUCAUCAAUGGCACGUCCAUUCGCAUCAAAUGGACAAGGACAGGGCUAUCUCCAUUCCCGUAGGCAAAGCUCUUUCCUUGGAUCACAUCACGUGGGGUCUGCUCCAUCUGGAAAUCCUUUGGAUAGGCAUUUUGGUUUUUUCCCAGAAUCUCCUCAAACAUCAUAUAUGAACCCACAUGCAUUUGGCAGUGGAGGUUCUAGUCAUAACAGUGCAAAUCAGGUGAUGAAUAUAGGUAGCCUUGGAGCAAUGAACAUGGGUGGUGCUCUUACUGGGAACUUUACUGAAAGUGGUUCUCCUAGCUCUAGAAUGAUGCCAUUGACAAGGAAUGGACCUAUAUUUUUUGGAAAUGGCUCAUAUGGAGGAGCAGGAACAGUUAAUGGUGAAGGGCUGAUUGAACGUGGUCGAAAUCGAAAAAUUGAAAGUGGUGGUAAUCAGAUUGACAACAAGAAACAGUAUCAGCUUGAUUUGGAGAAGAUCAUGAGUGGAGGAGAUACAAGGACCACCUUGAUGAUUAAGAACAUCCCGAACAAAUACACCUCAAAGAUGCUACUUGCAGCAAUUGAUGAGUCUCAUAAGAGUACAUACGAUUUUAUCUAUUUGCCAAUUGAUUUCAAGAAUAAAUGUAAUGUUGGUUAUGCCUUCAUUAACAUGGUGUCUCCUGCACAUAUCGUCUCCUUUUACGAGGCAUUCAAUGGAAAGAAGUGGGAAAAGUUUAACAGUGAAAAAGUUGCAUCAUUGGCUUACGCACGUAUCCAGGGAAAGGUAGCUCUGGUUACUCACUUCCAAAACUCAAGCUUGAUGAAUGAAGACAAAAGAUGCCGACCAAUUCUUUUCCAGUCAGAGGGCCAAGAGGCAGCUGAUGAGGAAACGUUGCCAUCCAGCAAUCUGAAUAUUUGUAUCCGUCGGCCUGAUGGGUCAUAUUCAGGAGAUUCUCUUGAUAGCCCAACAAGCGAUAUAGAUGGGAGACCAGAGCUAUUCACUGGAAGCAGCUGACCCUCAACCGUGGCAAUGGGUGUUCUAACUGUGAAUAGAAAUUCAAGUACAUAAUUUGUCAAUGAAACCAGGAAACUGCAUAUAGUUACUUAUGUGAGCUAGUUGUGUCUGCUUUUUGGAUGGAGGACACUCUAGAGCAUGUAGGACGAAUUGUUACAGAGGCCGCGAGCAUUUUGUUUAUAUGUAGAAUGAUGACAAUUGAUCUAUUUAACAGUGGGGGAAAGUAAAAUAAGGUUUUAAGCAUUCAGCCAACUUGUGAAGUCUCUCUCUGCUGCUGAUAUGCUUUUGCCACAGUUUGGCUGUUAUGCUUCUUGUUGUGAUGAGAUUCUCUUGACUAAUGCAUAAUUUUUUAUGUUAUACUUGUGGGGCUGUUUCAUAAGUGUAUAGGAUGGAGAUUGACAGACCCUACAUUUUUUC